AGUACUAUGAUUCAUUUUUGAUCAUAUACAUUGCAUCCAUUUACAUUCAUGAUUCUUUGUACUUCAUUACACAUUGCAUCAUUUCUUUCUUACAUCACAUUUAUCUCAAAAUAAGCUUUACAUUCUUUUCUCAACAUCACUAGUCAUCAAAUACAAAAGAUGAACAUAGGGUACUCUACUAACAAAAUGUAAACCCAACUCAACUCUGGU
rnacentral:lncRNA from 1 species